rnacentral:tRNA from 1 species
GCGAACGUGGCGGAAUUGGUAGACGCACCAGAUUUAGGUUCUGGCGCCGUAAGGCAUGAGAGUUCAAGUCUCUCCGUUCGCACCA